UCGAGAGAUCGAUGGUUCCCUUNGGGGACGCGGUGACAGGUGNUGCAUGGCUGUNGUCAGCUCGUGUCGUGAGAUGUUGGGUUAAGUCCCGCAACGAGCGCAACCCUCGUCCUUAGUUGCCAUCAUUUGGUUGGGCACUCUAAGGAAACUGCCGGUGAUAAGCCGGAGGAAGGUGGGGAUGACGUCAAGUCCUCAUGGCCCUUACAGGCUGGGCUACACACGUGCUACAAUGGCGGUGACAGUGGGCAGCAAGCACGCGAGUGUGAGCUAAUCUCCAAAAGCCGUCUCAGUUCGGAUUGUUCUCUGCAACUCGAGAGCAUGAAGGCGGAAUCGCUAGUAAUCGCGGAUCAGCAUGCCGCGGUGAAUACGUUCCCAGGCCUUGUACACACCGCCCGUCACACCAUGGGAGUUGGAUUCACUCGAAGGCGUUGAGCUAACCCCGCCAAGGGAGGCCAGGCGACCCACCAGUGGUUAGCGA
rnacentral:rRNA from 1 species